rnacentral:lncRNA from 1 species
GCUCCCAGCACAAGGGCGGCUCUAACUGAGGACAGGUUUUCCCGUGUAACAUAUGUCAACUGUAGUUGACGGUAACCAUAGUUCAGUCCGGUUAACUGAGGUGCGUCUUAACUGUGGUUAGCAUGCCCGUGUAACUA